rnacentral:rRNA from 1 species
CAAACUGGGAUUAGAUACCCCACUAUGCCUAGCCAUAAACAUAAAAAUUUUACAACAAAAAUCUCGCCUGAGAACUACUAGCCAUAGCCUAAAACUCAAAGGACUUGGCGGUGCUUUAUACCCACCUAGAGGAGCCUGUUCUGUAAUCGAUAAACCCCGAUAUACCUCACCACUCCUUGCUAAUUCAGCCUAUAUACCGCCAUCUUCAGCGAACCCUAUUAUGGAACAACAGUAAGCUCAAUUAUAUACCAUAAAAACGUUAGGUCAAGGUGUAGCCCAUGAAGUGGGAAGAAAUGGGCUACAUUUUCUUACUAAAGAACACUUAACGUAAAUCCCUGUGAAAACCAAGGAUACAAGGAGGAUUUAGUAGUAAAUUAAGAAUAGAGAGCUUAAUUG